UCCUGGUUAACCCAGGCAGUCUCGUUAGAGUUCCCACCAUUACGUGUUGGCAACUAACAAUAAGGGUUGCGCUCGUUGCGGGACUUAACCCAACACCUCACGGCACGAGCUGACGACAGCCAUGCAGCACCUGUGCAGCAGUCCCGAAGGAAAGGUCUAUCUCUAAACCGGUCUACUGCAUGUCAAGCCUGGGUAAGGUUCUUCGCGUUGCAUCGAAUUAAACCACAUGCUCCACUGCUUGUGCGGGUCCCCGUCAAUUCUUUUGAGUUUCACCCUUGCGAGCGUACUCCCCAGGCGGUAUACUUAUCGCGUUAGCUUCGGCACAACUAGGGUUGAAUCCAGUUACACCAAGUAUACAUCGUUUAUGGUAAGGACUAC
rnacentral:misc_RNA from 1 species